rnacentral:lncRNA from 1 species
CCCACAGCCGUGCACACCUUACUUUCUCCUUUACAUUCAGGGUUGCUCUCCUCUUCCACAUGCUAGGAUGGCAUUGUCUACUCCCACCAACCUCACGGAGUUGUUGCAAACAAAAAGGAUAGUUUGUUUUAAAAGCAAGUAAGUGUGAACAUCAACUAACAGAGCAUGAAAAUGGUAAAUUCCUUGUGGAUGACCUGUUGCAUCCAGCACCUGUGCAAACAGCUGGACCCGGGAGCCAUCUGCCCAGUUUCUCCAGCUGAAACUCUUGAUGCUGAAUCUCCAGGGAACUCACCCGUUGGCACGGUGCACGGUAAACAGGGCUUGAGGCCUGGAGGAUAUCACACAUGAAAACUUUGUGAGGAAGAAAUCUGCAGUUGCUGUUAAGUUUUGAAAUACACGUACUCCGUGACCCAACUAUCUCACCGUUGGAAUUUAUCCCACAGGAAAACAGCAACAGACUUCCCAGACAGAGCUAUAGGCUCAGUAUUGUCCUUGGCUUGCUGGUGUGCUUGUUUCAAGCAUCGUUUGAGGCAGCUAGACUCUGGAAACAACCUGAAUGUCCAGCGGGAAGCAGAAGUGAAACUCAUUAAAAAGAGAGGUGGUUGAAUCAGUGGUGGCAUAUUCAUUCUCUGGAAUAUUAAGUAGCAACCAAAGAAAAAGGCUCAGAUCUCUGCCUACGGCCUCUGUGGAUCCACUCACAUUGUUUUGUUUUUGUUUUUUUGUUUUUGUUUUUGUUUUGCAACACUUUAUUUUGUCCUUAAUUUCCAUUUCGUAAGUCUGUGUUAAAAUAUAGACUUAUAUAUAUUUCUAAAGAGGCACAGCCUGCAUAUAAUUUUAAAAUGGCAUAACAAAAUGGUCUGAGGAAAAAAAAAACAACAACAUGGUUUUGUUUUUGAUAUUUUUGUGUAGGGGCCAUUCCUGGAACUGAUUCGACAUGCAGGGAUCCUCUGGGGUCCUGGUAGUGUCCAUGCUCAGCCUGAGGUCAGUCUUACUUGUGUAAGUGCUGACUGCGGUUUCAACCGUCAUGUAGGGCACAUGUAUUAGAUGUUCUUCAAGAGUGCAUGUCAAAUCUAAUAAGUGAGUUUUGGCACUGCAUGUGAAAUCAGU